rnacentral:rRNA from 1 species
UUUGUGGAGGGUUCGAUUCUGGCUCAGGAUGAACGCUGGCGGCGUGCUUAACACAUGCAAGUCGAACGGGAUCCAUCAGGCUUUGCUUGGUGGUGAGAGUGGCGAACGGGUGAGUAAUGCGUGACCGACCUGCCCCAUACACCGGAAUAGCUCCUGGAAACGGGUGGUAAUGCCGGAUGCUCCGACUCCUCGCAUGGGGUGUCGGGAAAGAUUUCAUCGGUAUGGGAUGGGGUCGCGUCCUAUCAGGUAGUCGGCGGGGUAACGGCCCACCGAGCCUACGACGGGUAGCCGGCCUGAGAGGGCGACCGGCCACAUUGGGACUGAGAUACGGCCCAGACUCCUACGGGAGGCAGCAGUGGGGAAUAUUGCACAAUGGGCGCAAGCCUGAUGCAGCGACGCCGCGUGCGGGAUGACGGCCUUCGGGUUGUAAACCGCUUUUGAUCGGGAGCAAGCCUUCGGGUGAGUGUACCUUUCGAAUAAGCACCGGCUAACUACGUGCCAGCAGCCGCGGUAAUACGUAGGGUGCAAGCGUUAUCCGGAAUUAUUGGGCGUAAAGGGCUCGUAGGCGGUUCGUCGCGCGUCCGGUGUGAAAGUCCAUCGCUUAACGGUGGAUCUGCGCCGGGUACGGGCGGGCUGGAGUGCGGUAGGGGAGACUGGAAUUCCCGGUGUAACGGUGGAAUGUGUAGAUAUCGGGAAGAACACCAAUGGCGAAGGCAGGUCUCUGGGCCGUUACUGACGCUGAGGAGCGAAAGCGUGGGGAGCGAACAGGAUUAGAUACCCUGGUAGUCCACGCCGUAAACGGUGGAUGCUGGAUGUGGGGCCCGUUCCACGGGUUCCGUGUCGGAGCUAACGCGUUAAGCAUCCCGCCUGGGGAGUACGGCCGCAAGGCUAAAACUCAAAGAAAUUGACGGGGGCCCGCACAAGCGGCGGAGCAUGCGGAUUAAUUCGAUGCAACGCGAAGAACCUUACCUGGGCUUGACAUGUUCCCGACAGCCGUAGAGAUAUGGCCUCCCUUCGGGGCGGGUUCACAGGUGGUGCAUGGUCGUCGUCAGCUCGUGUCGUGAGAUGUUGGGUUAAGUCCCCGCAACGAGCGCAACCCUCGCCCUGUGUUGCCAGCACGUCAUGGUGGGAACUCACGGGGGACCGCCGGGGUCAACUCGGAGGAAGGUGGGGAUGACGUCAGAUCAUCAUGCCCCUUACGUCCAGGGCUUCACGCAUGCUACAAUGGCCGGUACAACGGGAUGCGACACGGCGACGUGGAGCGGAUCCCUGAAAACCGGUCUCAGUUCGGAUUGGAGUCUGCAACCCGACUCCAUGAAGGCGGAGUCGCUAGUAAUCGCGGAUCAGCAACGCCGCGGUGAAUGCGUUCCCGGGCCUUGUACACACCGCCCGUCAAGUCAUGAAAGUGGGUAGCACCCGAAGCCGGUGGCCUAACCCUUUGUGGAUGGAGCCGUCUAAGGUGAGACUCGUGAUUGGGACUAAGUCGUAACAAGGUAGCCGUACCGGAAGGUGCGGCUGGAUCACCUCCUUU